AUGAUGAUUUAGAUAAAAAAAAGUUUAUGGUUUAAACUGAAACUUUGUGUAGAAAGUAUUCUAGGGCGGUCUGAUUUG